UACGUAGGGGGGCGAGCGUUGUCCGGAUUCAUUGGGCGUAAAGAGCUCGUAGGCGGCUCAGUAAGUCGGGUGUGAAACCCUCAGGCUCAACCUGGGGACGCCACUCGAUACUGCUGUGGCUAGAGUCCAGUAGAGGAGUGUGGAAUUCCCGGUGUAACGGUGAAAUGCGCAGAUAUCGGGAGGAACACCAACGGCGAAGGCAGCACUCUGGGCUGGAACUGACGCUGAGGAGCGAAAGCGUGGGUAGCAAACAGG
rnacentral:rRNA from 1 species